UACGUAGGGUGCAAGCGUUAAUCGGAAUUACUGGGCGUAAAGCGUGCGCAGGCGGUUUUGUAAGUCUGUCGUGAAAACCCCGGGCUUAACCUGGGAAUUGCGAUGGAGACUGCAAGGCUUGAAUCUGGCAGAGGGGGGUAGAAUUCCACGUGUAGCAGUGAAAUGCGUAGAGAUGUGGAGGAACACCGAUGGCGAAGGCAGCCCCCUGGGUCAAGAUUGACGCUCAUGCACGAAAGCGUGGGGAGCAAACAGG
rnacentral:rRNA from 1 species